rnacentral:rRNA from 1 species
UACGGGGGGAGCAAGCGUUGUUCGGAUUUACUGGGCGUAAAGGGCGCGUAGGCGGUAGCACAAGUCAGUUGUGAAAUCUCCGGGCUUAACUCGGAAAGGUCAACUGAUACUGUGCGACUAGAGUGCAGAAGGGGCAACUGGAAUUCUCGGUGUAGCGGUGAAAUGCGUAGAUAUCGAGAGGAACACCUGCGGCGAAGGCGGGUUCCUGGACCGGCAUUGACGCUGAGGAGCGAAAGCUAGGGGAGCAAACGGG